CGGCGGACGGGUGAGUAAUGCCUAGGAAUCUGCCUGGUAGUGGGGGACAACGUUUCGAAAGGAACGCUAAUACCGCAUACGUCCUACGGGAGAAAGCAGGGGACCUUCGGGCCUUGCGCUAUCAGAUGAGCCUAGGUCGGAUUAGCUAGUUGGUGAGGUAAUGGCUCACCAAGGCGACGAUCCGUAACUGGUCUGAGUGGAUGAUCAGUCACACUGGAACUGAGACACGGUCCAGACUCCUACGGGAGGCAGCAGUGGGGAAUAUUGGACAAUGGGCGAAAGCCUGAUCCAGCCAUGCCGCGUGUGUGAAGAAGGUCUUCGGAUUGUAAAGCACUUUAAGUUGGGAGGAAGGGUUGUAGAUUAAUACUCUGCAAUUUUGACGUUACCGACAGAAUAAGCACCGGCUAACUCUGUGCCAGCAGCCGCGGUAAUACAGAGGGUGCAAGCGUUAAUCGGAAUUACUGGGCGUAAAGCGCGCGUAGGUGGUUCGUUAAGUUGGAUGUGAAAUCCCCGGGCUCAACCUGGGAACUGCAUUCAAAACUGUCGAGCUAGAGUAUGGUAGAGGGUGGUGGAAUUUCCUGUGUAGCGGUGAAAUGCGUAGAUAUAGGAAGGAACACCAGUGGCGAAGGCGACCACCUGGACUGAUACUGACACUGAGGUGCGAAAGCGUGGGGAGCAAACAGGAUUAGAUACCCUGGUAGUCCACGCCGUAAACGAUGUCAACUAGCCGUUGGGAGCCUUGAGCUCUUAGUGGCGCAGCUAACGCAUUAAAUUGACCGCCUGGGGAGUACGGCCGCAAGGUUAAAACUCAAAUGAAUUGACGGGGGCCCGCACAGGCGGUGGAGCAUGUGGUUUAAUUCGAAGCAACGCGAAGAACCUUACCAGGCCUUGAC
rnacentral:rRNA from 1 species